rnacentral:rRNA from 1 species
UGGUGGGGUGAUUUGUCUGGUUUAUUCCGUUAACGAACGAGACCUCUGCCUGCUAAUUAGUUGCGCUCUUGCUUCUGCAAGGGUCUGCUUGACUUCUUAGAGGGACACUUGGUGUUUAACCAAGGGAAGUUAGAGGCAAUAACA